ensembl:lncRNA
UAAAAGGUGAACGCAGAAGAGGAUGAAGACCAUGACUGUUGAUUAUUUUGGUUGUUGAUACUGUAAAAUUUGUUUCUUAUUUAGCCUUUAAUUUGACAACUAUAGAAAGAAAAGAAUUGAAGACUAUUUUUAAGGAAAAAAUACAUAAAAAACAACUAAAAGUUGUUUCAAGUGUGACACAGAAGAGCAUGAAGUUUUGGGAAAUAUAAGAACAAAUUAGACAACUCAAUUCUCAUUCCAGGCCCCUGGCAGCUGCUUCUGACCUUUGGCUUGCAUCUUUGCUGUGGCUUCCAGCCUUUGGAUCAUAUCUUGGCUCUGCUUCCUGACCUUUGGCAGCUUAUUUGGUUCCUGUUUUUGGACUCACCCUCAGCUUGUAUCCUGAUCCUGGCUCCAGACCUUUGGCCAUUAGGAUAACUCUUACCCAGUUGGUAAUUGAGUUCAGUUUGAAAUGCUUGAGGGAGAAACCUCAGGAGAGCAAUUUUUGUGCUUUGUUUGUGGAGUGAACCUGAAGAGUGGGAACAUAAGCAGUUUCCUAGUUUCCCUUACUGAGAAAAUCCUCACACUCCUCUCCACAAGCCAAGUUGUACACGUCACUGGAGUCAUCACAAAAAAUAGUGUUGUCCUUACGUUAAGAAGACUGGGAG